rnacentral:rRNA from 1 species
ACGGCGAGCGAAGAGGGAAGAGUCCAGCGCCGAACUCCACCGAAUGUAGGCGGUCGGAGUCUGUGGCGUUAGGGAGGGAGCGUGCCGGUGGACGGACGUCGGAGCAAGUCCUCCUGAACGGGGCUGUUUCCCAGAGCGGGUGCCAGGCCCAUAGGUCCGACGACCCCGCCGGAUAGCGAUCCUCUCCAGAGUCGGGUUACUUGGAAGUGUAACUCUAAGGAGGUGGUAAACUCCACCCAAGGCUAAAUACUGCCGUGAGACCGAUAGCGAACAAGUACCGUGAGGGAAAGUUGCAAAGAACUUUGAAGAGAGAGUUCAAGAGUACGUGAAACUGCUGAGAGGCAAACUGGUGGGCCCUCGAAAUCCCGUCUGCGGGGAGAUUCAGUCGGGUGUCGGCGGCCGUCUCGCAAUGGGUCUGUCGCAACCGAAGAUCGGGGCACAUUCCGAGAGGCGAGUUCGCCGGAACCCGACGCAUUUCCCGCCCGCACGAAAGGACGCCGCAGCCGGUCGGGUAGCUGCGCGUGUCGGCCAUGAGGACGUGGCAACGGCAGGUGACCGGCGGCCCUAGGCUUCUCCGGAGGCACUAACGGUCGACGGUUGAUUAGCCGGCUCGUCCGUGGCGCGACACCCGACCGAGGAAACACGGACAAAAAUUUUCUCUCCACGGAGAGAAACUUAUAAUCCACUACUUUCAAAUACGAGAGCGAGCCGUCGGACAGGCGCGUUCCUGCGUGGUCGGACAGUCACCGCACUGGUCGAUCUGGUGGGAGCGCGUCGUUGGUUUCCGAGUCAGGAU